CUGACGGUACGCGACUGGCGAUAGGCAGCAGCCUGGAACAGGACCUGAUGCCGAAGUGGGAACACCACGGGGGAGCGUACCGCAGCACCAAUUUUGGUUUUGUGAUCAGCCGUUCGCCUGGGCACCUUAA
rnacentral:ncRNA from 2 species